UAGAUUGUAGUGGACUUAGUGGGGCUCUAUAAUUAAAUUGAUGCGCUGGGGGUAGUGAGGGCCAAUUACCAGGAGGAGGCACAAUAUAAAAAGGAAUCGUUCACCCUUGUGUGCGUGUGCCGUCUGAGUUGCGUCAUUGCUCGGGGACCGCCCCUUCCAGCUUUCGGUGUUGUUUCCGCUUUGAGGUAUGUGCUACCUGUCUCGUUUAGUGAACACAGGUGCAGGAUUUGGGAUAACCGAUUGUGUCGUUUAUAGCUUCAGGAUAAUUCGCGGCUGUUGGCGGCCCCAGCUUUCCGGUUGCAUGCCUCUCUUGCUGUCUCUUUGGCAGUCCCGUCUCUCCGAUACUUGAGUGGUGGGAAUAGCUCGUCGUGUGGGCUGCGGGCGGCGGCCGCGCUCCCUGUGCAUGUCCCUCUCGCAUUCCCGUGCUUUGUGGAUGAUGAUGUCCGGCGUGGUGUAGGUGGGCGUCGGCUUAUGAACAAAAGGUAUGUGACACGUCCAUUUUUGUGUAGCGCCAAUCCUGUAUUGUAUCGCAAAUAUGUUUGUUUGUAUUUUAGGAUUAAUAAGACCUGGUGGGAAACGCUGGUUGACGCUGCUGCUUAACUCCAGAUUUUUAUAACAACUCCUUCAACACGUGUGUGCCGAGUUUAAGUAUGUUGUGUGUCACCUGCCUCCAGCCCGAGUCACCGUACGGCUGGAGGUUUCAUUAGUUUUUUUUCAAAUUGUUGUUUGUUUACUGCCUUCAUUUUCUUUUGAGUAUUUUCUAUUUUUUGUUAUUGUGCUUGGUGGUGUUUUGCAAAUAUCUGUUGAGGUCUGUUGUCCUUCUAAUGUGCUGGUAGCAAGCCAGUGAGUUAAUAGGAACACAGCGCAGACGGCAAACCUUGACUUUUAUUUUUUUUGUUAUUUUUAUGUAAUUGUGUAUGUAUACUUGGUGUAAGUGUUUGGUGAGUAUUGAGACUGGUGGUAAUUCUCAUUCUCAUUGCAGGAGCCGAGGCUUUAGGGCAGUCCUCUAUCAGACCCUUACGUGUGGUGGUGGGCUCGUCACAGAGUGCUGUGCUGGACUGGAUUGCGAUGUGUGUGCAUUGCUGUGGUACACAGGGUGUUGAGAGUUAUAUAGAAGCCUGGUGCGCCCUGAGAGGUGUCUGCCAUUAAGCCUCGGUUCCCUUUUAGCUAUUGUGUUUCUUUUGUGGGGAAUGCUGAUGACCUAUUUCUUUCUUGAUGUUUUUAAUGGUGUGAAUAUUUAAAUAAAACUUUUGCAUAUUUUGUA